CUGCUCAGGACGAACGCUGGCGGCGUGCUUAACACAUGCAAGUCGAACGGUAAGGCCCCUUCGGGGGUACACGAGUGGCGAACGGGUGAGUAACACGUGGGUAAUCUGCCCUGCACUUCGGGAUAAGCCUGGGAAACUGGGUCUAAUACCGGAUAUGAACUCCUGCCGCAUGGUGGGGGUUGGAAAGUUUUUCGGUGCAGGAUGAGCCCGCGGCCUAUCAGCUUGUUGGUGGGGUAAUGGCCUACCAAGGCGACGACGGGUAGCCGGCCUGAGAGGGUGAUCGGCCACACUGGGACUGAGACACGGCCCAGACUCCUACGGGAGGCAGCAGUGGGGAAUAUUGCACAAUGGGCGAAAGCCUGAUGCAGCGACGCCGCGUGGGGGAUGACGGUCUUCGGAUUGUAAACCCCUUUCAGUAGGGACGAAGCGCAAGUGACGGUACCUGCAGAAGAAGCACCGGCUAACUACGUGCCAGCAGCCGCGGUAAUACGUAGGGUGCGAGCGUUGUCCGGAAUUACUGGGCGUAAAGAGCUCGUAGGCGGUUUGUCACGUCGUCUGUGAAAUCCCUCGGCUUAACCGGGGGCGUGCAGGCGAUACGGGCAGACUUGAGUACUACAGGGGAGACUGGAAUUCCUGGUGUAGCGGUGAAAUGCGCAGAUAUCAGGAGGAACACCGGUGGCGAAGGCGGGUCUCUGGGUAGUAACUGACGCUGAGGAGCGAAAGCAUGGGUAGCGAACAGGAUUAGAUACCCUGGUAGUCCAUGCCGUAAACGGUGGGCGCUAGGUGUGGGGUCCUUCCACGGACUCCGUGCCGUAGCUAACGCAUUAAGCGCCCCCGCCCC
rnacentral:rRNA from 1 species